CAUCCUUAAAACAAAAAACUAUGACGAGAGGGGAGAAUCGACCAGAUAGUGAAAGAAGAUUCAGUAUCAAUUUAAACGAUCGUCGAUAAAGACAAAUUAUUUAUUUAUCGGAUAUUGUCAGCACACCAAAGAGUUGCCUGUGACGAGCAUUACUGUUCCUAUAUUUAUUUAACAUCCUGAACGAUUAAAAAUUUCGAUCAAAUUUCAACAAGACAUCGUUAUGGGAGUAAAUCAGUCAAUACCAGAUGCACCAUCAACGAUCUACUCAUCAUCGUUUCCAAUAUGCGGUACUGAACGUCGAUUCUGUCUACCACACAAUGUUGAACUUCAUAUCAAGGAGAGAUCCACAUCCAUGUCUGGUGGUGAUUUCAAAGUGAUGGACGCCAACGAUAAUAACAUAGUCUACUUUCGGUGUGAGGGUCGUGUAAUGAGUUCGGAAAAAUAUUUAAGAGAUGGUGCGGGUGCACUUGUUCUCAAACGUUGCAGCAGCAAUAGAAUCAAAAUAUUUGCUGAUGAUGGAAGCGCACCUAAAGUCUGUAAAUUCAAAUCGACACAUGCGUCGCUUUUGAGUCCUGCUAAAGUGUCGACAGUAUUUCACAAUGUCUUCAAUGGAAUCGAACAUGAACUGAUGUUGAAAUGCUCCACUAGUAAUAAAAGUACGGCGAUUUGGUUGUGUGAUGUGGAAACAAGGGAACGCUUCCCACUAGCCCGUAUUUUCAAACCUAUCAUGAGACAAUGUGGAAAUGAUUUUAUAAUGGAAGUGGCUGCUAACGUCGACAUAGCUAUUUGUGUUAUUAUGUGCAUUGAUUUAGUCGAGCGUUGUUAAAGAUAGAAAAACUAAAAAAAAAAAAUGUUUUCGGCGAUUAGUGUUUCGAAAGAAAAAGUUUAAUAUUUAAGUUCUGUACUUUAGGUUAGUGUUAAGUGACGACGAAAGUGAAUUAACGUUAAAAGCGUUUUCAAAGUUCACUUCCUAUCAAGGAUUAAGGAUUGUCUUGCAAAUUUGCAAUUUGCGUUCUAAACAUUUUGAGAAAUUAAAGUAAGAGAUAACCGAGUAAA